GAAUCCGCYAAGGAGUGUGUAACAACUCACCUGCCGAAUGAAUUAGCCCUGAAAAUGGAUGGCGCUCAAGCGGGCAACCGACACCACACCGUCUGAUAAAGAAUGAUGAUCAGAUGAGUAGGAGGGCGUGGUGGUUGUUUGGAAGCAUGUGUGCGAACACAUGUGGAACGGCCACUAGUGCAGAUCUUGGUGGUAGUAGCAAGUAAUCAAGUGAGAUCCUUGAUGGGCGACGCGGGGAAGGGUUCCAUGCGAACAUUGAUUGGGCAUGGGUGAGUCGUUCCUAAGCCGAAUGGUAAUUGCAAAAGAUCGGCGAAAGGGAAGCAGGUUGACAUUCCUGCACACGGAUGUGGAGGCGGUGACGCACAUUGAGGUGAAGACGUUGGCGGUGGCACUGGGCAGAGUUGUCUUUUCUGUUUAACCUGUUCAAGUGGGGUGUGGAAUCCAAUUGUUGGGAGAAACACGCAUUUGUGGUAAGAGCGUCGGGGUUUUUCCGGCGUCCAGAUCGCUACUGACGGCCCUUGAAAAUUUACCUAAUGAACAAAAUCCACGCCGUGGCGUACCGAUUACCGCAUCAGGUCCCCAAGGUGAACAGCCUCUGCUCAAUAUGAAUAAUGCAGGUAAGGGAAGUCGGCA
rnacentral:rRNA from 2 species